GGGCGCGACCUGGCUUCGACGGGGGUCGCCAAAGGUGUGGUGGCGUGCCGAGGUGGUCGGUGGCCUCGUAAAACACCGGCAAAGCCAUAACUGGCAACACUCAGCGUUCUUACGCUCUCGCUGCUUAAGUCAGCGACGUUCCUAGCAAGCCCCGCCGUUGGCUCGGCUAGCGAACGACCUAAAAACGGCUAGCCCGCGCGAGGCUCCGUAAGCGUUGGGCGAAACUUUACGGAGCUUGGCCUAGAGUCCCUGCUGAUGGGGAAACUCCAGGCGAGAAUCUAAACAUCAGCUACGCACGUAGAAGCCCACUGGAGGGACUUUCGGACGGGAGUUCGAUUCUCCCCGCGUCCACCA
rnacentral:tmRNA from 1 species